ACGGGAGGCAGCAGUGAGGAAUAUUGGUCAAUGGUCGGAAGACUGAACCAGCCAUGCCGCGUGCAGGAAUAAGGCCCUAUGGGUCGUAAACUGCUUUUGUGGUGGAGCAAUAAGGCGUACGUGUACGUCGAUGAGAGUACAUCACGAAUAAGCAUCGGCUAACUCCGUGCCAGCAGCCGCGGUAAUACGGAGGAUGCAAGCGUUAUCCGGAUUUAUUGGGUUUAAAGGGUGCGUAGGCUGUGUGGCAAGUCAGCGGUGAAAUGCCGGAGCUCAACUCCGGAACUGCCGUUGAUACUGUCAUGCUGGAAUACGGAUGCCGUGGGAGGAAUGAGUAGUGUAGCGGUGAAAUGCAUAGAUAUUACUCAGAACACCGAUUGCGAAGGCAUCUCACGAAUCCGUCAUUGACGCUGAGGCACGAAAGCGUGGGGAUCAAACAGGAUUAGAUACCCUGGUA
rnacentral:rRNA from 1 species